CCUACGGGUGGCAGCAGUGAGGAAUAUUGGUCAAUGGGCGCGAGCCUGAACCAGCCAAGUCGCGUGAAGGAUGACUGCCCUACGGGUUGUAAACUUCUUUUAUAAAGGAGUAAAGUGAGGCACGUGUGCCUUUUGUAUGUACUUUAUGAAUAAGGAUCGGCUAACUCCGUGCCAGCAGCCGCGGUAAUACGGAGGAUCCGAGCGUUAUCCGGAUUUAUUGGGUUUAAAGGGGGCGUAGAUGGGUUGUUAAGUCAGUUGUGAAAGUUUGCGGCUCAACCGUAAAAGUGCAAUUUAUACUGGCAGACUUGAGUACAGUUGAGGUAGGCGGAAUUCGUGGUGUAGCGGUGAAAUGCUUAGAGAUCACGAAGAACUCCGAUUGCGAAGGCAGCUUACUAAACUGCCACUGACAUUGAUGCUCGAAAGUGUGGGUAUCAAACAGGAUUAGAUACCCCAGUAGUC
rnacentral:rRNA from 1 species